rnacentral:rRNA from 1 species
UACGUAGGGUGCAAGCGUUGUCCGGAAUUAUUGGGCGUAAAGAGCUCGUAGGCGGUUUGUCGCGUCUGCUGUGAAAACUCGGGGCUUAACUCCGGGCCUGCAGUGGGUACGGGCAGACUAGAGUGCGGUAGGGGAGACUGGAAUUCCUGGUGUAGCGGUGAAAUGCGCAGAUAUCAGGAGGAACACCUGUGGCGAAAGCGGCGCACUGGACCACAACUGACGCUGAGGCGCGAAAGCUAGGGGAGCAAACAGG